GGGGAGGGCUGUGGCUCAGCGGCAGAACACCUGCUAUGCAUGCAGAACGUCCCAGGUUCAAUCCCCAGUCUCUCCA